UUGGAGAGUUUGAUCCUGGCUCAGGACGAACGCUGGCGGCGUGCUUAACACAUGCAAGUCGAACGGGAUCCUUUCUAGCUUGCUAGGGGGGUGAGAGUGGCGAACGGGUGAGUAACGCGUGAUUAACCUGCCGUGUAGUUUGGAAUAGCUCCUGGAAACGGGUGGUAAUGCCGAAUGUUCCACAUGCUCGCAUGGGUGUGUGGGAAAACGUUUUAGUGCUAUGCGAUGGGAUCGCGUCCUAUCAGCUUGUUGGUGGGGUAGUGGCCUACCAAGGCUUCGACGGGUAGCCGGCCUGAGAGGGCGACCGGCCACAUUGGGACUGAGAUACGGCCCAGACUCCUACGGGAGGCAGCAGUGGGGAAUAUUGCACAAUGGGGGGAACCCUGAUGCAGCGACGCCGCGUGCGGGAUGACGGCCUUCGGGUUGUAAACCGCUUUUAUUGGGGAGCAAGCGUGAGUGAGUGUACCUUUUGAAUAAGCACCGGCUAACUACGUGCCA
rnacentral:rRNA from 1 species